GGGAUUCCAGCCCUGGGAACGGGGAGCGCGCAUCUGAGCCGAGUCUGUCUAUAAGAGCCGCCAGCCGGCACCCGCUCGCCCAUUCACAUUCCACCGCCCGCCCGAUCUCACGUGUCCGCCGAGUCGCCCAACCGGGAGCCCCGAGCGUGCUUAUCACCCGAUCACUCGCUUAUCAAUCGCUUAUCAGCCGCUUAUCGCUUUUAGUAGCCUGUCCAUUCGGUUCGAUUCUCCGAGGCUUCGAGGCCGGGUUUACCAUGAAACUCCACCCCGCCACCGCUCGGUUCCGAGUCCUUUCUCUCGUUUCUUUCUUUUGUUUUUCCUAUGUGGUGUCCAGUCUCGUGCUUUGAGCCAGGAACUCUCGGCCCUACAGAACCUACGGCUAAAAGGACAUUUCAAAUGGAGUAUCAAAACGACGGAGGUGACGUUAUUUUUUUUCUCAUAAAAUAAGAGAGGCCCCCUAGUCGCCUAGGGGAUGCGUCUCGAGCAGCAGAAAAACUCUCCCACAUUCUGCUCCGACUGAUAUCUGAAAUUAUCAUGAAUUCCUCAAAUCCCGAGGGUCGUCCGAUGUAAAAUGAUGAUGCACCGCUGCGCUUCACCGACAGGCUAGACGCUGUGGAGCGAGGACCAUAUCUAAAUUGAACUCGGCAGAGAAGAAACUCACCAACGCGGUAUAAUUCCAAAAGGAAGUCAGAGGGAAAUCCUUGUGUUACCGCGGAAAAAUACACAAAUGGUUCAAGUUUAAAGUGCUAAAUUAUUGCCGAAUAAAAGUCGCCUUCAAUUAGAGAUGAUACUGUGCAAUACACAGAAGCUCGAAUAGUUGCCCGUUCGAAUACUUGCUCUGUAAAAUGUCACAAACAAAUGAGUUACUCCGCGUAGAAACACCUUAUGAAGAUAGUAAUUCUGCUCAGAUUGUUCAUUUUUGUUAGAGAGUUUAUAAAAAACCGAACAGACACGCUAAUUAUUUUUAUGAGGAAGUAGAAAAAAAUUAGCAGGAUUUUUAGACGUGAAAUUUCAAAGGGAUCACAAACCAUUCAGCUGCAAAUGAUGCUCUAAGUUGUAGAGUGUCAGUAGCACUGCAAGGCGUAUACAUCGUCCCUUCAAAAAAUAUUUACUCACUCAUGGGAACCUUCAGAAAAUACUUGACUGACUGUUGCUAUUGGCUCGACCGACUAGGACACUUUUAGUCCCUGUAGCCGUAGUUUUUCUUUUUUUUUGUGAGGAACUUUUGAAAGUAUCACGCCACACUGUUUUGUGAUAUUUAGUUAAUCCAGGUCUUGCAAAAAAUUAGUAUAUGUAUAUAGUUGGGCAGUAAAAUGUUAUAAAACUUCAGAACAGAAACUGAUGUUAAAACUACAAAAAAAGCUGCAGGUUCAUUUGAUCUCACAGGAAAAUAUCGCGUUCAAAAGAUUGGGAUUUGCAUAAGUUAUUUAAGGCUUAAAAAGCACGGUGCGAGCUCAUUUCGGCUCUAGUCAUAAUCUGAAUUUAUCCGACUCGGAGCCAAUUAAAAAGUAGGUGACGAAGCAGGCGGCUUUUACUGGGAGGCAAAGGUGAGGGCUAAAUAUUUUAUUAUCAACAGGGAGCCUUUAAAAUUACGGGAAUGGAAAAGGUUGCGAAGGUUGUGCCUCGUAGUGAGGAUAAAUUGUUGCCACAAUGUUCAAAAAGCAGGAUGAAAAUUAGAAUUAUGUUGAAUCCAUUUGACUUCGCCAGACAAACAAAAAAUUCCUGAGUCUUCAUUGUUAAUUUUGGUGUCCCUUGGUUAUAAUUCUUUUUACCAAAGGCGAAACAAAAAGUUGUACAUUUUGAAAUGUUAUAUUAUUUAUCUGCGACAUGUUCAAAAAGCAGGACGAAAAUUAGAAUUAUGUUUAAUAAAUUUUUGAUAAAUUCGCCAGGCAAGCAAGAAAAUCCCGAGUCUUCAUUGUUGCCGUUGAUAUCUUUUGGUCAUAAUUAAUUUUCACCGAAAGCGGAAUAAAAAGUUGUACAUUUUGAAAUGUUAUAUUAUUUAUCUGCGACAUGUUCAAAAAGCAGGACAAAAAUUAGAAUUAUGUUUAAUAAAUUUUUGAUAAAUUCGCCAGGCAAGCAAGAAAAUCCCGAGUCUUCAUUGUUGCCGUUGAUAUCUUUUGGUCAUAAUUAAUUUUCACCGAAAGCGGAAUAAAAAGUUGUAAAUUUUGAAAUGUAUUAUUUAUCUGCCACAGUUUUAAAUAGUUUAUGAGGGCUUUCAUGAAAUUUUCUCGGAUUGGCUGGUUUUUAUGAGUAAAAUUAAAGAGAGAGGGACAAUUUUAAAACAUUGUAAUUGAGAAACAGAAUUUUGUAAUUUUUACGGCAAUGUUCUCGAUCAUGAGUGGGAGUUGGAAGUUUUAAACCGUCAGUAUUUUUUUAAUCUUCACGCGU
rnacentral:lncRNA from 1 species